rnacentral:rRNA from 1 species
GAUGAACGCUGGCGGCGUGCCUAAUACAUGCAAGUCGAGCGAACAGACGAGGAGCUUGCUCCUCUGACGUUAGCGGCGGACGGGUGAGUAACACGUGGAUAACCUACCUAUAAGACUGGGAUAACUUCGGGAAACCGGAGCUAAUACCGGAUAAUAUAUUGAACCGCAUGGUUCAAUAGUGAAAGACGGUUUUGCUGUCACUUAUAGAUGGAUCCGCGCCGCAUUAGCUAGUUGGUAAGGUAACGGCUUACCAAGGCAACGAUGCGUAGCCGACCUGAGAGGGGGAUCGGCCACACUGGAACUGAGACACGGUCCAGACUCCGACGGGAGGCAGCAGUAGGGAAUCUGCCGCAAUGGGCGAAAGCCUGACGGAGCAACGCCGCGUGAGUGAUGAAGGUCUUCGGAUCGUAAAACUCUGUUAUUAGGGAAGAACAAAUGUGUAAGUAACUAUGCACGUCUUGACGGUACCUAAUCAGAAAGCCACGGCUAACUACGUG